AUUGAACGCUGGCGGCAGGCCUAACACAUGCAAGUCGAGCGAGCGGCGGACGGGUGAGUAAUGUAUGGGGACUGCCCGAUAGAGGGGGAUAACUACUGGAAACGGUAGCUAAUACCGCAUACUAUCGGAUAACCCAUAUGGGAUUAGCUAGUAGGUGAGGUAAUGGCUCACCUAGGCGACGAUCCCUAGCUGGUCUGAGAGGAUGAUCAGCCACACUGGGAUUGGGACACGGCCCGGACUCCUACGGAGGCAGCAUUGGGAAAUAUUGCACAAGGGGCGCAAGCCUGAUGAGGACAUGCGGGGUGGAGAAAGAAGGCCCUAGGGUUGUAAAGUACUUUCAGUCGGGAGGCGUUACCGACAGAGGAAGCACCGGCUAACUCCGUGCCAGCAGCCGCGGUAAUAC
rnacentral:rRNA from 1 species